rnacentral:rRNA from 1 species
UGGGGAAUUUUGGACAAUGGGCGCAAGCCUGAUCCAGCCAUUCCGCGUGAGUGAAGAAGGCCUUCGGGUUGUAAAGCUCUUUCGCAAGGGAAGAAAACUUAUCUUCUAAUAUUAGAUGAGGAUGACGGUACCUUGAUAAGAAGCACCGGCUAACUACGUGCCAGCAGCCGCGGUAAUACGUAGGGUGCGAGCGUUAAUCGGAAUUACUGGGCGUAAAGCGUGCGCAGGCGGUUUUUUAAGUCUGAUGUGAAAUCCCCGGGCUCAACCUGGGAACUGCGUUGGAAACUGUCGAGCUAGAGUGUGUAAGAGGGGGGUAGAAUUCCACGUGUAGCAGUGAAAUGCGUAGAGAUGUGGAGGAAUACCGAUGGCGAAGGCAGCCCCCUGGGAUAAUACUGACGCUCAUGCACGAAAGCGUGGGGAGCAAACAGGAUUAGAUACCCUGGUAGUCCACGCCCUAAACGAUGUCUACUAGUUGUUGGUGGAGUAAAAUCCAUUAGUAACGCAGCUAACGCGUGAAGUAGACCGCC